rnacentral:lncRNA from 1 species
CUUACCCACUCACCUUGAUCUGCCAUUAUUUGCCUUCCCCAAGUUGCUGCUGCCUAUAGAGACUCAAUGUCCUUUGCCUUAGUUUUGUGACCUCUCUAAAAAUUUACUGUUCCUUUUUUUUUUUUUUUUUGUACCGGGGAUUGAACUCGGGACCUUGCAUUUGAGCAGCAGGCAGCAAAACCACUGAGCUAAAUCCCAGCCCCUACUGUUCCCUUUUAAGAUGCUGUGCAAUCUGGCAUUCAAACUCACCUCUUUGGAAAUUCCUUAUUCCCUAGGUGUCUCCUGUGCAUAUGUGAAAUAUAUACCUGUUAACAAGCUUCUGUUUGCUUUUCUCUUGUUCAUCUGUCUUUUGUUACAGGGGUCCCAGCCUUGGCUCCUUGAGACUACCCUGCACUUGGUUGGUGCUGUGACUUCGGCUUCAUGUUCCUACAUCACCAUCUUUUCCUUGCCAGAACCCUGUGCAUCUUUCUCAGUCCAGUGCAGACAACACAGGUGCUGACCUUCUGGGGUCACUGCCUUUGGAAGGAGCUCCUUCUGGUGACCCUGACACUUGGCUUUAGCUCCCAUCAGUCUCUGUGGCUGUUCAUCCCUUGAGGCCAAGGCAGAAGGAGACAGACAGGCACUUGUGACAUGGA